GAUCAGACUCUACGAAGAGUCCCUUAAAACUGGGCUUAGGUUACCUCUUCAUUUCUUAAUUGUAGAAUUACUUAAUGUAUACCAAAUAAUUCCAUGCUGUAUGGCGCCGAACUUAUGGCAUUUAAUCAUAGCCUUCUUAGCUCAUCAUCUUCUCCUCGGGAUGGAACCGACCAUCCAUCUCUUCAGGACGUGCUUCACAUUAAAGGAGCAUCC
rnacentral:lncRNA from 1 species